rnacentral:rRNA from 1 species
UACGAAGGGGGCUAGCGUUGCUCGGAAUCACUGGGCGUAAAGCGCACGUAGGCGGGUUGCUAAGUCAGGGGUGAAAUCCUGGAGCUCAACUCCAGAACUGCCUUUGAUACUGGCGGCCUUGAGUCCGGGAGAGGUGAGUGGAACUGCGAGUGUAGAGGUGAAAUUCGUAGAUAUUCGCAAGAACACCAGUGGCGAAGGCGGCUCACUGGCCCGGUACUGACGCUGAGGCACGAAAGCGUGGGGAGCAAACGGGG